GAUGAACGCUGGCGGCGUGCCUAAUACAUGCAAGUCGAGCGAACAGACGAGGAGCUUGCUCCUCUGACGUUAGCGGCGGACGGGUGAGUAACACGUGGAUAACCUACCUAUAAGACUGGGAUAACUUCGGGAAACCGGAGCUAAUACCGGAUAAUAUAUUGAACCGCAUGGUUCAAUAGUGAAAGACGGUUUUGCUGUCACUUAUAGAUGGAUCCGCGCCGCAUUAGCUAGUUGGUAAGGUAACGGCUUACCAAGGCAACGAUGCGUAGCCGACCUGAGAGGGUGAUCGGCCACACUGGAACUGAGACACGGUCCAGACUCCUACGGGAGGCAGCAGUAGGGAAUCUUCCGCAACGGGCGAAAGCCUGACGGAGCAACGCCGCGUGAGUGAUAAAGGUCUUCGGAUCGUAAAACUCUGUUAUUAGGGAAGAACAAAUGUGUAAGUAACUAUGCACGUCUUGACGGUACCUAAUCAGAAAGCCACGGCUAACUACGUG
rnacentral:rRNA from 1 species